AGCACCAAGCAAACGCAUAGAGAAACUUGCAUAGUAAGCGAAACCUCCAAAAUGGCCUCAGCCCAGUGCUGCAAACCAGCUGAGCAAACAUGCAACGAAGGCCAGCAAAACCACUCGCUCGGACAGAAAGUGUCCGACUUGGUUACCUCCGUCUUCAAGAAAGAUCAAACCCACCAGGGACAUACAACCAGCCACUGCCAGACCCAAUGCUCUAGCCACACCACGGAGCACAAGACCCAGACCGUGUGUGUAGGCCAAACUAAUGGGCACGAAGCCCAUGACCAAGGCCUGGGCCAUGCAAAUUCUAAUGGUGCAAAAUGCAACAGCAAGAGCCGGAGAGGUGAGCGCAAGAAAAGGGGUCUGCUCCAGAAGAUCAAGGAUGGCAUUUCCGGCCACAGUGACAGCGGCAGCAGCAGCAGCGAAAGCGACAGUGAUGAUGACAAGUGCGGGAAGAACAAGAAUUAAGAGAUGGACUGGCUAUGGUGACAGAAUCAAGUCAUAUGAAGAAGGGGUUGUCCAUCAUUUUAUGUCGUAUAAAUAAAUAAUGAAAAAAAUAAGAAGAAAUGCCCAUAUGAGGUGCAUGUGAGGCUAUUAUCUUGGUGUAUCAUAUUUAUAAAUAAAUAAAAGUUCUAAG
rnacentral:misc_RNA from 1 species